GUCAGGUCAGCAGGUUUCAUACAUGGUUGUUACUGCACACUUUGUGGACUCUAAUUGGAAUUUGCAAAAGGGUACUUUCAACUUCUGUGAUGUUCCACCACCUCAUAUAGGAGUUGUUAUAUGUGAUGUGCUACAAAAAUGCUUAGUUGAAUGGGGAAUUGAAGAUAAGGUAUGGACUGUUUCUAUUGAUAAUGCUGCCUAUAAUGAUG
rnacentral:misc_RNA from 1 species